GACGAACGCUGGCGGCGUGCUUAACACAUGCCAGUCGAACGGACAGGCCCUGCUUUUGUGGGGUGCUCGAGUGGCGAACGGGUGAGUAAAACGCGAGUAACAUGUCCUUGACAUUGGGAUAACAUCAGGAAAAUGGGGCUCAUACCGGAUAGGAGCUUCUGCAGCAUGGUGGUGGUUGGAGAGAUUCGGUGGUAGGGGAUGGACUAGAGGCUUAUCCGCUUGAUGGUGGAGUAGUGGUAUACCAAGGCUAUGACGGGUAGGCGGCAUUAGAGGGUGACCGGCGACAAGGGUACUGAGAGACGCACCAGACUGCUACGGGAGGCAGCAGUCGGGAGUAUUGCAGAACGGGCGGAAGCCUGAUGCAGCGGUGCCGCGUGCGGGAUGAUGGCCUUUGAGUUAUGAACAUCUUUCUCAUGAGCUGAAGCGUUAGUGACGGUAAUGAGUAAAGAAGCACCGGCUAACUACGUG
rnacentral:rRNA from 1 species